rnacentral:rRNA from 1 species
CCUACGGGAGGCAGCAGUGGGGAAUAUUGCGCAAUGGGCGAAAGCCUGACGCAGCGACGCCGCGUGAGGGAUGAAGGUCUUCGGAUCGUAAACCUCUGUCAGCAGGGAAGAACGGUCACUGUGCUAAUCAGCAGUGAAUUGACGGUACCUGCAAAGGAAGCACCGGCUAACUCCGUGCCAGCAGCCGCGGUAAUACGGAGGGUGCGAGCGCUAAUCGGAAUUACUGGGCGUAAAGCGCUCGUAGGCGGUAUGUCAAGUCAAGGGGGAAAUCCCCGCGCUCAACGUGGGAACUGCCUUUGAAACUGGCAAACUGGAGUGUGUGAGAGGAUAGUGGAAUUCCAGGUGUAGGAGUGAAAUCCGUAGAUAUCUGGAGGAACAUCAGUGGCGAAGGCGACUAUCUGGCACAUAACUGACGCUGAGGAGCGAAAGCGUGGGUAGCAAACAGGAUUAGAUACCCCAGUAGUC